AAAAGAGCGAGCGAAUCCACUUGGGAGUUAAAGAAAAGUUGAAAAGACAAGCUUCAACACAUAGGUAUGGAUGCAUGGACAGACUGGACUGUCAAGUGCAAUUAUUAAUGCCUCACAAUAUGUGGGGGGGGGGGGGCAUAAAAAUAAACAAAA